rnacentral:rRNA from 1 species
CCUACGGGAGGCAGCAGUGAGGAAUAUUGCGCAAUGGGGGAAACCCUGACGCAGCCACGCCGCGUGCCGGAAGACGGCCCUAUGGGUUGUAAACGGCUUUUGUUUGGGAAGAAAGUGCAGGUUUCGACCAGCAUUGACGGUACCAAUUGAAUCAGCACCGGCUAACUCCGUGCCAGCAGCCGCGGUAAU